AGGAAGGGCUUCCCCUGGAGUUCUUGGCUACCAUCCAGGAGGACCGGUCUUUGUGGAAGGGGUGCGCUACCGUACCCCUGGAGUACCUCCCUCCCGGCCUGAAGGGGUUCAAUGCAUACGCCAUCCAUGGGACGGGGGAGCAGAGGGAAUACCAGGCGCUGUACCCCGCUGAGAGGGGCAAGCAUGAGCACCCUGACUUCCACAGACUAAAAUACUUUACAGAGAUAUCAUGGGAUGGCAUCGUAGACGUAUCGAGACUACCUCUGCCAACAUCUGUUUGGAAGUGACAAGGGCCAUCUUCAAAUUUCUCUUUCCUUGCCAGUGAGAAGACUAGUCUUCCAUUUCAGCUUUUUUCGAUACUUGUUUUCAAUGAGGAGACCAUAUUGACAUGUGAAACAUUUGUUGGUAUAAUUAUUUGUAUGGUGUCGCUUGUGCCUGUGAGGCUUAUAUAGCGUUUCAUCAACAAUUUUCAUCUGACAAAUUGUCGAAUCUGAUAACUUUCCUUGAUUCAUAUUGGCUUAGAAGCACUGCUAAUAUGGUAACUUUCUGAUAAAACAUGAUUUGUCUGAUGGAAUGUUUGACAAGUCUUAUAAUGAAACACUCCUCUGAUGACCCCUCUCCUGAUGAUAUAUCUUACUGGGGGCUGUUUCAUAAAGCUGUUCGUAAGUUAAGAAUGACGUUAAGAACGACUGAUCCUUUCUUGUGGUAAAUGGUAUUCACCAUUGUUCAUUGGUGAUUGUUUUGCGCGUAAGAAAGGUUCACCAGUUGUUCUUAAAGUCGUUCUUAACUUACGAACAGCUUUAUGAAACACCCACCAGGGUUUCCUCCUGGUGUCAUAUGAAUAUUGCAGCAGGUUCUUAAUAUGCAAAUUAAGGUCAUGAAAACAUGUACAUGUAUGUAUAUGAACACACAGGGCCUUCAUUAAUAUCCUAUCCAAUGGAUGAGCUCAUAAAACUCAUGAAAGUUGCACUUGCAAGGCGAGGGUUUUCUGCUUUACACAAAUACAAUUAUUUAGGCUUCAAAUACAUUUAUAUAACUUUAAACAUGUAACUUGAGUUACAGUAGAGUCUGCUUGAGUCAACCUUCCAUAACAACGUAGAAGCUUUUUUUUUCAGACCAGAAUAUGCGAAGGUGUUAUUUACAAGUCUAAUUUGGCCUAGGUCAAAUAGAUGUCUUUUGUCCCAAUAUGUCCCGACUUUCUCCGCUUCACCUAUAAAUUGACUUCCCUGAUCUACUGCCCAAAAAAUGAAAUAUUCCUUUGAGACUAUUUUUUGCAUUCUUAAGACAAUCAUAUGUUUAUUUAUCAAUCUAUUAAUUUGUAAUAUAUAAAUUUUGAAAGGAGAAAUUCUUAAAUUAAAGGAAAUGUUUGGAGAUGAAAUUGAAAAUUGAAAAUGAUCAAAUAGCAGUUCAAAUAAUUAUCUCCCAUGAGUUUUCAAACUUCCAUCUGUGGAACUUUUUGCUGUAAUUUAAAGUUUUCACCUAAAUUAAAACACAGUCAUCAGUGAUGGAUCAAGGAUUGUGAAAUAGAGGGGGUACAAAUAGCAAAUAGAGAAAUGGAAGGGGUGCAGAUGAUAAUUUUCUCAGAAUUGACUGUAUUUAUACAAAAUGGGCAAUAUUCAAAUUAUAGAGGAGUGCGCCCCCGCCUGGAUCUGCCAUUCGUCAUCAGACUGUUUUGGCAGACAGAAUGCUGUAGGCGGUCUUAGAAAAAUUAGAUAGUUGUUUACAUCCUGAUUUUAAUUGAUAACAUCCUUAUUUUGCUUUUCUGUUGCUCUUUCUAAUUCUUCAAGUUGAGGAAGAGCAUUUACUGGUCAAGGUUUUGAAAUCCCAGGCCCUGUUACAUGAAGCACAGUGAUUGAUCGCAUUGCUGGUUAAUAUGAUUGAUUGCAUUGACUAUUGUGUAUGAUCAAUGGUAAAUAUCAGCUCAAUAAUUGAUCGUAAGUUUAUGUUAUGUGGUGCUGGCCUGGUGGGUGUUCCAUAAAGCUGUUCAUAAGUUAAGAGCGACUUAAAGAACGACUGGUGAUCCUUUCUUGUGGUAAAUGUUAUACAACAAAAUGUUAAUUGGGGAUGGUUUAGCACGUGAGAAAGGUUCACCAGUCAUUCCUAAAGUCGCUCUUAACUUACAAAAUUCAUGAAAAGGCCCCCUUGGCUUAUACAGGAAAGUAGGGUCCUGUGUAAAAAAUAUGGAAAAAUUAUCUUUUGGAAAAACCAUUUCCAUUCAAAUAACUUAGGCCUAUACUAAAAAAAUAAUAUGAUUGAAUAUAUGUGAAUUGCAUUAAUGACAUCAAUUAUUUUUUACUCUCUUAUUUUUAUUUUGUAUCUUUAAACAAUAUUUUAAACAAUGAUGUUGAUAAUUAUUUAAUCAUUAUAUCCAUUAAUUAGCUCUACACAUUACAGUAUACUUAUUUGAUUAUUCCCUUUAAAACAAAGACGUUUGAGUCAGGGGGAGAUAGGUGUCACAAACAUCCCCAAGAAUGCGGUAGAACUUGACAUCUGCGGUGGACAUAUACAAGUAUGUGCCCAGCUGUGCCACGGUUCUCAAAUCAUGAAGAAAUAUAGUCAUGUGACAGUGAGAGACCUCGGAAUAACCAAAAGAGGAUCUGUGUCAUGCCUGGUUUAGCAAAUAUUUUCGUAUUUUGGAUUAGAAGGUUUUAGAGAGAAUUUCUUCACCCACGGUUCGAGGUCUUUACUUAUAGAAGGCCUGCACUCAUAACAGUGAUUUUUUUUUUAUAAAAAAGUGAUUUAUAAGUACUCUCUACUUAACUGAGAGACUUUUUGUAAAUAAACCAAGUAUAUGCUUUGCUGAGAUGCUGUCUCAGGGUCGCAAUAUGAUGACAUGUGAUAAGCGGAUGUGUUACACUUUUUAGAAAGAAUUUCAAAUUUUUGUUGUUUUGAUGAGGAGUUCUGCAUCCUUAUUUUCUUUCUCCGGAGACCAAAAUUAAUGUAACUGGUUGAAUUAGACAUCAGUUUCAAUAUGUCACUGACAUAUUUUCUGGCUGCAUUGUAAACUCCUUGUCCUUUUUGUAUACAUGUAGUUUGAAAUAUAAUAUCAAGUUUCUAUAUAUUUGUUAUUUUUAGUUUGUAAAUUUUAGAAGUUUGAAGAUUUUUUUUUGUGGACAGUCAGUUCCCAUCAUUUAAACUAAAUGCAAUAUUCCAUUGAUAUUAACAUUAAUUUACUUUUGAACAUGGAUAUCAAUUCAUUAUGAGGAUACAUAAUCAUUUGUGAGUCCUACAUUUAAUAAAAAGUAAUUCGGUGGAGUCACAGUAUGGUGCGCUGUGAUGCUGUGACUGUGAUGCUUCUUAACCCACAGACUCCCAUGCCUACCUCCUCCUAUGCUCUUGCCACCCCUCACAUCUUCAAAAAGUAUACCAUACAGACUCGCUCUCCAUAUAUAAACCGCAAUUGCUUACAACCAAACCGCUGCGACUCCCAUCUUGAUGAACUUCAAUAGCACUUCUCACAACGCAAUCAUGACCCUAAACGCAGCCAAGAACAAAUCGACCGCGCACAUACGACCAAUUACUAAAAAUCCCUCAAAUCAUCAAGAAACACAUAUGCACAUUAUCAGAAAACCAACAACUUCAUACCAUCUUCCAAUGAAGAACCCCCCUCCCCAUGGUUGCCUUCAGGAGAGCACGCACACUCUGUGACCUCCUUACAAGAGCAGCCGACCCUACACCCAAAGACAAUUAACAGACACAUAUUAGAUACUGACAACAAACAACAUCAGUGGCUUCCGCAAUUGCAAAUCAAAACAAUAUAUGACACUUACAUCAAAGAGGGUCAAACAUGCAACAGUACAAUUACUGGCCAGGCAAACCCCAUCAACUCCCAACUUCAUUGCAAAUCUGAAUGGAUCAUAUACCUCAUGACAUACAAAAAGUGCCACAAACAAUACAUGGAUAAGACAGAAAAUA